AACGAACGCUGGCGGCAUGCCUAACACAUGCAAGUCGAACGAGACCUUCGGGUCUAGUGGCGCACGGGUGCGUAACGCGUGGGAACCUGCCCUUAGGUUCGGAAUAACUCCCCGAAAGGGGUGCUAAUACCGGAUAAUGUCUUCGGACCAAAGAUUUAUCGCCUUUGGAUGGGCCGGCGUUGGAUUAGCUAGUUGGUAGGGUAAAAGCCUAUCAAGGCGACGAUCCAUAGCUGGUCUGAGAGGAUGAUCAGCCACACUGGGACUGAGACACGGCCCAGACUCCUACGGGAGGCAGCAGUGGGGAAUAUUGGACAAUGGGCGAAAGCCUGAUCAAGCAAUGCCGCGUGAGUGAUGAAGGCCUUAGGGUUGUAAAGCUCUUUUACACGGGAUGAUAAUGACAGUACCGGGAGAAUAAGCUCCGGCUAACUCCGUG
rnacentral:rRNA from 1 species